rnacentral:misc_RNA from 1 species
GUGAAUCAUCAAAUUUUUGAACGCAAAUUGCACUCUCUUCGGAGAGUAUGCCUGUUUGAGGGUCAGCCUAAAAAAAAAUCGACAUAGUCGCUGUUUCGCGGUGAUUUUCGCCGGAAAUUGGGUUUUCUUAAACCUUUGGGCAUUAAGCGGCUUUAAAUUUUCUUUACGAUUCCACGAAAGUUUCUAAGUUUUACUUAUAAUACGUUUAAGGUAUCGAUCUUUAUUAGACGUGGCCGUUGCAUAGGAACUCGUACCUAAAUAUUUUGUUCA